AGAGUUUGAUCAUGGCUCAGGAUGAACGCUGGCGGCGUGCCUAAUACAUGCAAGUCGAACGAGGGCUGCAUUUCGUAAGAGGUGCAGAUUCCGAGUGGCGAACGGGUGAGUAACACGUAGGCGACCUGCCCUCAAGAGGGGGAUAACGGCUCGAAAGGGCUGCUAAUACCCCAUAAGCCCACAGGUGUUAGAGGGCCUGUGAGCAAAGGGAGCAAUCUGCUUGGGGAGGGGUCUGCGGUCCAUCAGGUAGUUGGUGAGGUAACGGCCCACCAAGCCGAAGACGGAUAGGGGGCCUGAGAGGGUGGUCCUCCACACGGGCACUGAGAGACGGGCCCGACUCCUACGGGAGGCAGCAGUAAGGGAUAUUGCGCAAUGGGCGCAAGCCUGACGCAGCAACGCCGCGUGUCCGAAGAAGGCCUUCGGGUCGUAAAGGACUUUUCUGGCUGAAGAGAGCGGACGGUAAGCCAGGAAAAAGUGUCGGCUAACUACGUGCCAGCAGCCGCGGUAAAACGUAGGACGCGAGCGUUAUCCGGAGUUACUGGGCGUAAAGGGCGGGCAGGCGGGUUGGCAAGAUGGGUGUGAAAUCUCCCGGCUCAACCGGGAGGGGCCACUCGUGACUGCCAGUCUGGAGGGUGACAGAGGAGCGUGGAAUUCCGGGUGGAGUGGUGAAAUGCGUAGAGAUCCGGAGGAACACCAGAGGCGAAGGCGGCGCUCUGGGUCACCACUGACGCUGAACCGCGAAAGCCAGGGGAGCGAACGGGAUUAGAUACCCCAGUAGUCC
rnacentral:rRNA from 1 species